CCUACGGGUGGCAGCAGUGAGGAAUAUUGGUCAAUGGACGAGAGUCUGAACCAGCCAAGUAGCGUGAAGGAUGACUGCCCUAUGGGUUGUAAACUUCUUUUAUAUGGGAAUAAAAUGUUCCACGUGUGGGAUUUUGUAUGUACCAUAUGAAUAAGGAUCGGCUAACUCCGUGCCAGCAGCCGCGGUAAUACGGAGGAUCCGAGCGUUAUCCGGAUUUAUUGGGUUUAAAGGGAGCGUAGGUGGAUUGUUAAGUCAGUUGUGAAAGUUUGCGGCUCAACCGUAAAAUUGCAGUUGAAACUGGCAGUCUGGAGUACAGUAGAGGUGAGCGGAAUUCGUGGUGUAGCGGUGAAAUGCUUAGAGAUCACGAAGAACGCCGAUUGCGAAGGCAGCUCACUGGACUGCAACUGACACUGAGGCUCGAAAGUGUGGGUAUCAAACAGGAUUAGAUACCCCUGUAGUC
rnacentral:rRNA from 1 species